rnacentral:rRNA from 1 species
CACGUAGGGGCAAGCGUUUUCCGGGUUUAUUGGGGCUAAAGGGCUCGUUGGCGGCUCAGUAAGUCGGGUGUGAAACCUCCAGGCUCAACCUGGAGACGCCACCCGAUACUGCUGUGGCUUGAGUCCGGUAGGGGAGCGUGGAAUUCCUGGUGUAGCGGUGAAAUGCGCAGAUAUCAGGAGGAACACCAGCGGCGAAGGCGGCGCUCUGGGCCGGUACUGACGCUGAGGAGCGAAAGCGUGGGUAGCAAACAGG